rnacentral:rRNA from 1 species
UGAACGCUGGCGGCGUGCCUAACACAUGCAAGUCGAACGAGCGAGAGAUGAACCUAGUGAUUCCUGAGCGAGUGGCGGACGGGUGAGUAACGCGUGGGUAACCUGCCUUACAGAGGGGGAUAACAGUUUGAAAAGACUGCUAAUACCGCAUAAGCACACAGUACCGCAUGGUACAGGGUGAAAAAGAUUUAUCACUGUAAGAUGGACCCGCGUCUGAUUAGCCAGUUGGCAGGGUAACGGCCUACCAAAGCGACGAUCAGUAGCCGACCUGAGAGGGUGAUCGGCCACAUUGGGACUGAGACACGGCCCAAACUCCUACGGGAGGCAGCAGUGGGGGAUAUUGCACAAUGGAGGAAACUCUGAUGCAGCGACGCCCGCGUGAGUGAAGAAGUAUUUCGGUAUGUAAAGCUCUAUCAGCAGGGAAGAUAAUGACAGUACCUGACCAAGAAGCCCCGGCUAACUACGUGCCAGCAGCAGC